UUGAAUUCAUUGGGAGUCGCCACCUAGUAUUUAAUUGAGGGUUACUAGGAAACCCGAUUGUACUGGUCUUGUCAGAGAUUCGCGGGUAAGGGACCGGUUGUGGUUAGGGAAGGUAUUAGCACCCCUAACCCACCCUACCUGAG